rnacentral:rRNA from 1 species
CCUACGGGAGGCAGCAGUGGGGAAUAUUGGGCAAUGGGCGCAAGCCUGACCCAGCAACGCCGCGUGAAGGAAGAAGGCUUUCGGGUUGUAAACUUCUUUUCUCAGGGACGAAGCAAGUGACGGUACCUGAGUAAUAAGCCACGGCUAACUACGUGCCAGCAGCCACGGUAAUACGUAGGUGGUAAGCGUUAUCCGGAUUUACUGGGUGUAAAGGGCGAGUAGGUGGGAAAGUAAGUCAGAUGUGAAAACCAUGGGCUCAAGCUGUGGACUGCAUUUGAAACUGUUUUUCUUGAGUAAUGGAGAGGCAGACGGAAUUCGUAGUGUAGCGGUGAAAUGCGUAGAUAUUAGGAAGAACACCGAGGGCGAAGGCGGUCUGCUGGACAGCAACUGACGCUGAGGCGCGAAAGCGUGGGGAGCAAACAGGAUUAGAUACCCGAGUAGUC